AAUAAGAUGCCUGAAAAAAUAGGACUAUUUUGAUAGAAUAGAAUAUGUAUAAUAAUACUCUUAUUA
rnacentral:tRNA from 1 species